AUACCUUUCUCGGUAUUUUGGCUAAGAUAAAGUGUAGUAUCUACUGUUUAAUAUCUAGUAUGUGGGGCAUAUGUCCACUUUAAUUUUAAAUUUAUUUUUUAUGGUGAUGGUCCUGUUGUGGGCCUUCGUCUUCUGAAGGUCCUCAAAAACAUGAUUUAACAAUGUCUUCCAAGUGUGACAUAU
rnacentral:snRNA from 1 species